rfam:Salmo salar isolate Sally breed double haploid chromosome ssa13, whole genome shotgun sequence.
UGGCUCAGUUGGUAGAGCAUGGUGUUUGCAUUGCCAGGGUUGUGGGUUCGAUUCCCAC